GGGUGUUUGUUUGUAAGUUGUAACCCAAUCAUCUCAUCUCAAAGAUGUAUCAGGCUGGUGUUGGUGCUGGAGGUCCAAAGAUAGAAGAGGUUGAUUAGAGCGGUGGAGAGUGAGAAAAGGAAAGUGGUCUAGUAUGGACCAUUGGCAAGUCUUUAUUUGUAUUGUGUGUCUUUUAAGUGUGGAUACGUGUUCAGUGUAAUGGAACCAAUAAAAUCAGUUUAGUUGUAUGCGUCACUCUCGUUCACAAAGAACAUGUUCUGUCUUGGUCCCACUCACACACAUAUAUACUACAUACACACAUUUGGCUUCGGAACAGUUGCAGCAAAUCCACCAAAGCUCAGAUCAGCAAUGGAGAGAGGAUGUAUUGCAUUGUUCAUCUUCUUCCUCUUUGUCCUCUGCUUCCCCAUCUCAUCAGAUUCCCAGAAGCUCAGUUCAUCAAUAAGCUUACACGACCAAGAACAAGCCCAUGAGGUUACAAUCAAAGACAUAAAACGAGAAGAAGAUAAGAGCAUCGACAUCUUCCGGGUAGGGGUAGGAGCUCGUGGAGUUACAGGUGGAAGGGGUGGAGGCCGGAAAGCGUCUCCAAAACGUAACGCCGCCAUUGACCACCGGCCACUGUUGUUCUUCUCCACCACCUCCGUUCUCUUCACCGGGUUUAUAAUGCUUUCACUCACAUGUCAAUAAGAAUUAUCAUGUUGUGCCUAACUUGAGAGUUUAACAUUUGUUAUUUGGGUUAUUGUAAACUUUGAACUCUUACCACAUCUUAUAUAGAAUGACAAUACAGACACCAUUUGGCAUGAA